GACAGAGGAUGCAAGCGUUAUCCGGAAUGAUUGGGCGUAAAGCGUCUGUAGGUGGCUUUUCAAGUCCGCCGUCAAAUCCCAGGGCUCAACCCUGGACAGGCGGUGGAAACUACCAAGCUGGAGUACGGUAGGGGCAGAGGGAAUUUCCGGUGGAGCGGUGAAAUGCGUAGAUAUCGAGAGGGACACCUGCGGCGAAGGCGGGUUGCUGGGCUGAUACUGACGCUGAGGCGCGAAAGCCAGGGGAGCGAACGGG
rnacentral:rRNA from 1 species